ACAAGGUGCUAAGCAGCUCUGUGAGGAGUAGUGACAAAUUCUGAUGCUCUCAGAGACCAUACUGAGUUGCUCUUGUGUUGGGACCUUGAUUGUUUUUUAUUUUGAGUGGCUGAAUUAUUGCUCACCCAGAAGACUUCUAGCUCUGGACUAUCCCAAGUUGAUGAUUGAAGGAGCUGCGUAGGUUCUUACCAGGGAUUGGUGUUGGGAUGUCUGAACAUGGGAAGAAAACCACAGACCUCCUUCUUGUACCAAGGAAAACUGAAUCAGCCAGGGCUGGUCUGCAAUUCCCUGUGGGUUUUGUCUACAGGCUCCUUAAAAGAGGCAACUACACUGACAGGAUCAGUCAUGGUGCUGCCAUCUACCUGGCUGCUGUGCUGGAGUAUCUGAUCACAGAGAUCAUGGAGCUGGCAGUGAUCGCUGCACGGGAAAGCAAGAAAGCCAGGAUCACACCCAGGAACAUCCAGCUGGCUGUGAGAAAUGAUGAUGAGCUGCAUGAGGUCUUCUCCCGUGUGACCAUUGCUGAAGGAGAGGUGUUACCUAAUGUUCUUCCAGAACUUCUUCCUAGGAAGACCACAUCACUUAAACGACCCCACAGAUAUGUCUAGUUGCAGGAGUUCUAGCUGCCACCAGGCUCCUGACCUUGUGGUAUUGUUAGCACUGGCUUUCUUCACAGCUCAGAGUUUUUUCAUGCUGCUUAGCAUUUUUGAUCUAAAUUGGUGUGUGUGUAACUGUGCGCGUCUGGAAAGCUGCUAAAGAUGGGGUUGCUAGUUAAGUUUUCAUGGGUAGGUCCUUCAAAAACAAAAAGUCAGCCGAUGACUAUUAUGAAUAAAUGAGCGCUCAAACAA